rnacentral:lncRNA from 1 species
CCCUGAAGAACCUGAAGUUAAAGAAAAACCUGAAGAACCAACAGUUGAGGAGAAACCAGAAGAACCAACAGCUGAAGAGAAACCUGAAGAACCAGCAACUAAAGAAAAACAAGUGCAGAUAGGGGAGGAAACAGCUGAAGAACUACCGCUUGAAGAGAAACCUGAAGAACUAACGAUUGAACAGACAGAUGAAAAACUAGUUGUUGAAAAUAAAACUGAAAAACCAGCAAAUAAAGAGGAGAAACCUGAAACGGUAACUCUCCUUAAGCAGUGUCACAGAGUUUAUCCAUCCUAUUAGUUCUAUAUGUGUAACGAAUUCAUAUCUGUUUAUCUAUUGAAAUACUAAGUGAAAAUUUAAAUUUUCUUGCAGAAUUUGCCUAUUGCAGACUCAAAGGACAAGACUGACAUUGCAAUUCCAUGCGAUACCAGCAAUGAUAUUGCUGACUAUGCAACAGUUGAGGAAAAACCUGAAGAACCAGUAGUUGAAGAAAAACAUGAAGAACCUGCAAUUGAAAAGAAAUUUGAAGAACCAGCAGUUAUGGAGAAACCUGAAGAACCAGCGGCAAAGGUAAAACCUGAAGAACCAGCAGGGAAAGAAAAACCUGAAGAGCCAACGGCUGGGGAAAAACCUGAAGAACCAGCAGCAAAUGAGGAACCUGAAAAAUCAGCGAUGAAAGAGAAACCUGAAGAACCAAUUGUUGAGGAGAAACUUGAAGAACCAACUGUUGAAGAGAAACCUGAAAAACCACUGAUUGAAGAAACACCUGAAGAACCAACAUGGGAAGAAACACCUAAAGAACUAGCAUUUGAAGAGAAACCAGAAGAACCAGCAGUUGAAGAGGAGAAACCUGAAAAGGUAACUCUUAUGGAAGAGGUGAGUAUCAAGCAUUAUCACAUAGUUUAUCCAUCUAUGUGCAACAAUUCACAUAUGCUUAUCUAUUGAAAGACUAAAUGAAACUUUAAAUUCUUCUUGCAGAAUAUGCCAGCUGUAGAUUUCAACGACAAGACUGACCGUGAAAUUCAAUGCAAUAACAAUGAUGUUGCUGAAUAUGUAGCAGUUGAGGAAAACCUUGAACCAGCAGUUGAAGAAAAACAUGAAGAACCAACAGUUGAGGAGAAACCUGAAGAACUAGCAGUUGAAGAGAAACCCGAAAAACCAACAAUUGAGGAGAAACCUGAAGAACUAGCAGUUGAAGAGAAACCCGAAAAACCAACAAUUGAGGAGAAACAUGAAGAACCAAUAGUUGAGAAGAAACCUGAAGAAUCAAUAAUUGAAAAGGAGAAAUCUGAAAGGGUAACUUUCCUAGAAAAGGUGAGGAUCAAGCAUUGUCAAAAGGUUUAUCCAUCUUAUUACUAUUAGUUGUGUAUGUGCAACAAUUCACAUCUGCUUACCUAUUGAAAGACCAAGUGAAACUUCAAAAUUCUUCUUGCAGAGUAUGCUAGUUGUAGACUCGAACGACAAGACUGACAGUGAACUUCCAUGCAAUACCAACAACGAUGCUGCCCACUUUCCAGAAGUUGAGGGAAACCCCGAAGAACCAGCAAUUGAAGGAAAAUCUAAAGAACUUGUUGAUGAAGAGACACCUGAUGUACCAGUGGUUGAGAAACCUGAAAAACAAAUGGUUGAGGAGAAACUUGAAGAACCAAUGAUUGAGGAGAAAUCUGACGAACUAGUCGAGGAGAAAUCUCAACAACCAGCGGCUGAAAAGAAACCUGAAGAACCAGCAGCUAAAGAAUCACCUAAAGAGGUAGCAGGGGAGGAAACAUCUGAAGAACUAGCACUUGAAGAGAAACUUAAAGAACCAACAGUUGAAGAGAUACCUAAAGAACUAGUUCUUGAAGAUAAACCUGGAAACCCAGAAAAUGAAGAGGAUAAACUUGAAACAGUAACUCUCCAGGAAAAGGUAAGAAACAAGCAGUGUCACAGAGUUUAUCCAUCCUAUUAGCUCUAUAUAUGCAACGAAUUCACAUCUGUUUAUCCACUGAAAGACCAAGUGAAACUUUAAAUUUUCUUGCAGAAUUUACCAAUUGCAGACUCAAAGGACAAGACUGACAAUGCAACUCCCUACAACAACAAUGAUAUUGCUGACUAUGUAGCAGUUAAGGAAAAAACUGAAGAACCAGUAGUUGAGGAAAAACAUGAAGAACCGGCAAUUGAAGAGAAAUCUGAAGAAUCAGCAUUAAUGAAAAAAACUGAAGAACCAGCGGUUGAGGUAAAACCUGAAGAACCGUCAGUGGAAAAGAAGCCUGAAGAACCAGCGGUUAGGAAAAAACCUGAAGAACCAGCAGUUAAUGAGGAACCUGAAAAAUCAGCAACGGAAGAGAAACCUGAAGAACCAAUUGUUGAGGAGAAACUUGAAGAACCAACUCUUGAAGAGAAACCUGGAAAAUCAGUAAUUGAAGAAACACCUGAAGAACCAACACUGGAAGUAACACCUAAAGAACAAGCGUUUAAAGAGAAACCAGAAGAACCAGCAGUUGAAGAGGA